rnacentral:rRNA from 1 species
UACGUAGGGUGCAAGCGUUGUCCGGAAUUAUUGGGCGUAAAGAGCUCGUAGGCGGUUUGUUGCGUCGGCUGUGAAAACCUGAGGCUCAACCUCAGGCCUGCAGUCGAUACGAGCAGACUAGAGUGUUGCAGGGGAGACUGGAAUUCCUGGUGUAGCGGUGAAAUGCGCAGAUAUCAGGAGGAACACCGAUGGCGAAGGCAGGUCUCUGGGCCGAUACUGACGCUGAGGAGCGAAAGCGUGGGGAGCGAACAGG